UACGAAGGGGGCUAGCGUUGCUCGGAAUUAUUGGGCGUAAAGCGCGCGCAGGCGGUCCUUUAAGUCUGAUGUGAAAGCCCACGGCUCAACCGUGGAGGGUCAUUGGAAACUGGGGGACUUGAGGGCUUCAGAGGGACACGGAAUUGACCGGGUGGAGUCGGUGAAAUGCGUAGAGAUCCGGAGGAACACCAAAGGCGAAGGCAGUGUCCUGGGGAGUACCUGACGCUCAGGUGC
rnacentral:rRNA from 1 species